rnacentral:rRNA from 1 species
CCUACGGGUGGCAGCAGUGGGGAAUAUUGCACAAUGGGGGAAACCCUGAUGCAGCGACGCCGCGUGAGUGAAGAAGUAUUUCGGUAUGUAAAGCUCUAUCAGCAGGGAAGAAAAUGACGGUACCUGAUCAAGAAGCCCCGGCUAACUACGUGCCAGCAGCCGCGGUAAUACGUCGGGGGCAAGCGUUAUCCGGAUUUACUGGGGGUAAAGGGAGCGUAGACGGCAGGGCAAGUCUGGAGUGAAAGGCCGGGGCUAAACCCCCGGACUGCUUUGGAAACUGCGCAGCUUGAGUGCAGGAGAGGUAAGUGGAAUUCCUAGUGUAGCGGUGAAAUGCGUAGAUAUUAGGAGGAACACCAGUGGCGAAGGCGGCUUACUGGACUGUAACUGACGUUGAGGCUCGAAAGCGUGGGGAGCAAACAGGAUUAGAUACCCUGGUAGUC